UCAAGAUCUGGAUAAAAGGUUUCCUGGGAUAAGGAGGAAAGAGAAAAGAUUUGAAGGCUAUACACUGUAUCUUCCUGACAUUUUUCAUUUCACAUUUUUAACUUGAUUGCAUGUCCAUUUAUUCAUUCAACAGAUAUUUAUUGAUCUGUUAUUUGCUUGGCACCAUUCUAAAGGAUGAAGAUAUAGUAAUGAAAAAAUAUUCCUGUCUUCACAGAGUUCUUAGUGCGGCAGGGGAGAUAUACAAUGGAAUAAAAAGAUUUUUGGUGAACUCCAUGCUGUCUGUAAUUCCAUCAUGUUCAGUUGUGGCUUACUGCUCUGGUUGAGAGAGAAUGUUUCAGAGGCCACUACCUCAUCAUCAUACCAUAACAGCCCUACCUCCAGAGGUACUAUGUCUCAAAUCGCCGUUUUAAUUCUUCACAAUGAACUAUGAAAACCAUCAUAUCUGGUCCAGAUCCCUGCAUAACCUCUUCCCAGUA